rnacentral:rRNA from 1 species
GAUGAACGCUAGCGACAGGCCUAACACAUGCAAGUCGAGGGGUAUAGUAGCAAUACUAGAGACCGGCGCACGGGUGCGUAACGCGUAUGCAACCUACCUUCUACUGGGGGAUAGCUUUCGGAAACGGAAAUUAACACCCCAUAAUAUAGUUGAAUCACCUGAUUUGAUUAUUAAAACUCUGGUGGUAGAAGAUGGGCAUGCGUGACAUUAGCUAGUUGGUAGGGUAACGGCCUACCAAGGCUACGAUGUCUAGGGGGUUCUGAGAGGAAGGUCCCCCACACUGGUACUGAGACACGGACCAGACUCCUACGGGUGGCUG